rnacentral:lncRNA from 1 species
CUAAAACCAAUAAGUUACAUACAGAUUUACCAAGGGACCAUUUUAUUAAGAUUCAUAUAAAAUAGUUCUCAAUUAUUGUAUAAGCCUGAGGUCUCACACAGAUCUUAUUACAGUGAACUCUUUAUUUUUUUAUUCUUUUUUAGUUUUUUUAGUUCAAGGCCACCUUUAUAGUAUCUUUUUUUUUAAGACAAAGCCAUAUUCUUAGAUGUCAGCAUUUUUAAUCAUACUUUUGAUUUUCAAUUUAUAUUCCUGUUCAACGUUAUGUUAUAUAUAAUUUCUAGCAAUCAACAAGCACAGAGCACGCAGCUGUUUGUCGUUCCUGGUCUGUACCUAUAAUUAACAUGAUAUAAUAUGAUGCUGUGUUACUGUAAUUGUUCUUUAUGUUCAAUAUAAUUACAUAUAGCCGUUUAAUAUUGAAGGACUUGCUUUAUUAUAAAUGUGCAGUAACAAAUAUACAUAUAAACGAAGCAUCUUUCAAAGAAUUCAUGGAAUAUGUCAUCAAGUCAGGAAAAGGGCCAUUGUUAUAUUAUAGUUCGUUUCGGUGUGUGUUACAUUUUAAUGUUGUGUUUCUGUUGAUGAAUUUCGAACAGCGGUAUACUACUG